GAUGAAGAACGUAGCGAAAUGCGAUACGUAAUGUGAAUUGCAGAAUUCAGUGAAUCAUCGAAUCUUUGAACGCACAUUGCGCCCUUUGGUAUUCCGAAGGGCAUGCCUGUUCGAGCGUCAUUUCACCACUCAAGCCUGGCUUGGUAUUGGGCGCCGCGGUCGAUCCGCGCGCCUCAAAGUCUCCGGCUGAGCUGUCCGUCUCUAAGCGUUGUGAUUUCAUUAAUCGCUUCGGAGUGCGGGCGGCCGCGGCCGUUAAAUCUUUCACAAGGUUGACCUCGGAUCAGGUAGGGAUACCCGCUGAACUUAAGCAUAUCAAUAAGCGGAGGA
rnacentral:misc_RNA from 1 species